AUUGAACGCUGGCGGCAGGCCUAACACAUGCAAGUCGAACGAGUGGCGGACGGGUGAGUAAUGUCUGGGAAACUGCCUGAUGGAGGGGGAUAACUACUGGAAACGGUAGCUAAUACCGCAUACCAUCAGAUGUGCCCAGAUGGGAUUAGCUUGUUGGUGGGGUAACGGCUCACCAAGGCGACGAUCCCUAGCUGGUCUGAGAGGAUGACCAGCCACACUGGAACUGAGAAACGGUCCAGACUCCUACGGGGGGCAGCAGGGGGGAAUAUUGAACAAGGGGUGCAAGCGUGAUGCGGCCAUGCCGGGUGUAUGAAGAAGGCCUUCGGGUUGUAAAGUACUUUCAGCGGGAAGGCGUUACGCGCAGAAGAAGCACCGGUUAACUCCGGGCCAGAGGCCGCGGUAAUA
rnacentral:rRNA from 1 species